ACACGGUCCAGACUCCUACGGGAGGCAGCAGUGAGGAAUAUUGGUCAAUGGGCGGAAGCCUGAACCAGCCAAGUAGCGUGCAGGAUGACGGCCCUAUGGGUUGUAAACUGCUUUUAUGCGGGGAUAAAGGAGCCCACGUGUGGGUUUUUGCAGGUACCGCAUGAAUAAGGACCGGCUAAUUCCGUGCCAGCAGCCGCGGUAAUACGGAAGGUCCGGGCGUUAUCCGGAUUUAUUGGGUUUAAAGGGAGCGUAGGCCGCCUCUUAAGCGUGUUGUGAAAUGCGGGUGCUCAACAUCCGACUUGCAGCGCGAACUGGGGGGCUUGAGUGCGCCGAAAGUAGGCGGAAUUCGUGGUGUAGCGGUGAAAUGCUUAGAUAUCACGAAGAACUCCGAUUGCGAAGGCAGCUUACUGUAGCGCAACUGACGCUGAUGCUCGAAAGCGUGGGUAUCGAACAGGAUUAGAUACCCUGGUAGUCCACGCGGUAAACGAUGGAUGCUCGUUGUCGGCCCUUGCGGUCGGUGACCAAGCGAAAGCGUUAAGCAUCCCACCUGGGGAGUACGCCGGCAACGGUGAAACUCAAAGGAAUUGACGGGGGCCCGCACAAGCGGAGGAACAUGUGGUUUAAUUCGAUGAUACGCGAGGAACCUUACCCGGGCUUGAACUGCGGCGGAACGAUUCCGAGAGGAUGAGGCCCUUCGGGGCUGCCGCGGAGGUGCUGCAUGGUUGUCGUCAGCUCGUGCCGUGAGGUGUCGGCUUAAGUGCCAUAACGAGCGCAACCCCCGUCUUCAGUUGCCAUCGGAUGAUGCCGGGCACUCUGGAGAUACUGCCACCGCAAGGUGUGAGGAAGGUGGGGAUGACGUCAAAUCAGCACGGCCCUUACGUCCGGGGCUACACACGUGUUACAAUGGCGCAUACAGAGAGUAGGUGGCAUGCGAAUGCCAUCCAAUCCUUAAAGUGCGUCUCAGUUCGGACUGGGGUCUGCAACCCGACCCCACGAAGCUGGAUUCGCUAGUAAUCGCGCAUCAGCCAUGGCGCGGUGAAUACGUUCCCGGGCCUUGUACACACCGCCCGUCAAGCCAUGAAAGCCGGGGGCGCCUGAAGUCCGUGACCGCGAGGGUCGGCCUAGGGUGAAACCGGUGAUUGGGGCUAAGUCGUAACAAGGUAGCCGUACCGGAAGGUGCGGCUG
rnacentral:rRNA from 1 species